UGUUCAGAUUCUUCUUGGUUUCUCUCUGGAACAUUCCUUCUUCCUGGGUUAGGCAGGACCCCUUCAGGAAUGAGGUGUUAUGAUCUAUCAGGUGAAGGACAUGUUUGCUUCCCUUUCCACCAUGAUUGCAAGUUUCCUGAGGCCUCCCUAGCCAUGCUGAACUGAAAAGAAGAAAGCUGAAAACACACUGAGGAUUAUGGGAGAGGGGCAAGUGCAUGAAGCUUCUCAAUGACAUACAGACACUCUAAAAGCUCAAGAGAUCAAUUAUUCAACUUCAAGAACUGAAAUUUGAACACAGAUUUUGAGCUUCCAAAUCAGGAGAAAAAGAAGUGUUCUAUAAGAAGUUUGGACAAGACUCUGCAAGAAGUUAAGAGGUCCUUAAAGGCAACUGUGAAUUAACGGAGACUAGUUUUGAGAAAAUCAGUCCUGAUUUGUUUCUCCUGGAGUUUUCUUCUUUAUGUGAUCCUUCAUAAAAGCUGCUAAUAUGGGAAAGAUUGAAAUCAGCAAGUUUCUGGCUGUAAGCUAAAAGAGGCUCUUGAAUCAUAUUUCCGCCUGCUUAGCAAAUUUCUCUUGCGACAAUUGGAUGUUAUUUGGGGUUCCAUACUAGCAGGAAGAAGUACAAGCAAAGCUAAGUCAUUUUGAGAAUAAAUAUUAUCUCUCUAUAUAUUUGUAAAUGUUAUUUUCUUUUUUUUUGAGGUUUAUGAUUGAUCCUUGGCAUGUGUCCCCUUGUGUAUUGCUCUACUAAAAAUAGCCUAAAAAAGAAUUUUCCCCUCGAUGUGGAGCUUCUCUUUAGUUACAAUUCUACUUUCUCCUUCACUUGAGUAUCAGUCUUCAGAGAACUACCAUAACAAAGGAGUGGAUACAGAUAUACGCAAAAAAGUCUAUGAGAAAAUUAGUACAUUAAAUUUGUGAAAGCUCAUUUAAAGUAAUUUUCUACUAACAAUUUUAAUCAAAUGUAUUAAUCAUAUUUCUAUGCUUAGUGAUGUUAAAUAAAAAUUUAAAAGGUGGCAAUCAAUAAACAGAGAUAAAAGCUUCUCAAGAAUAAAUGAAAGGAAGUAAUAAAAAGACUCACUAAGCUGAAUUGCCUCCUAUCAACAGCAGCUGAUAAAAUAUUAAAAGAUUUGCCUUGUGUAAUGUCUCUGGAGAGCUGUCUUACUGAUGUACGAGGCCAUGAUUGACAACUUUGAGACUUUGCUGGAAGCGACAAAAGUAUAUCUAUAAUAUUAUGCUGAAUUGCAUAGGUCUUUCUUCUUAAAUGAGGCUAGAAAUAACAUACCACCAAGUGUUUGGCUUUUAGGAAAUUGAGCAUUUUCUUUAGUUCUAGCUGCAGUUUAAUUUCCUCAGAAUUAGACAUUAUGCGGUAUCUGGAACGUUAAAAAAAAAAAAAAGCAAAAA
ensembl:lncRNA LINC01473 long intergenic non-protein coding RNA 1473